UACGGGGGGGGCAAGCGUUGUUCGGAAUUACUGGGCGUAAAGAGCUCGUAGGCGGUGUGUCACGUCGGCCGUGAAAACCUGCAGCUUAACUGUGGGCGUGCGGUCGAUACGGGCAUCACUGGAGUUCGGCAGGGGAGACUGGAAUUCCUGGUGUAGCGGUGAAAUGCGCAGAUAUCAGGAGGAACACCGGUGGCGAAGGCGGGUCUCUGGGCCGAUACUGACGCUGAGGAGCGAAAGCGUGGGGAGCAAACAGG
rnacentral:rRNA from 1 species